UACGAGGGGGGCAAGCGUUGUUCGGAUUUAUUGGGCGUAAAGGGUGCGUAGGCGGUCUGGCAAGUCUUGUGUGAAAUCUUUGGGCUCAACCCGAAGUCUGCACAAGAAACUGCCGGGCUUGAGUAUGGGAGAGGUGAGUGGAAUUUCCGGUGUAGCGGUGAAAUGCGUAGAUAUCGGAAGGAACACCUGUGGCGAAAGCGCUCCCUGGUCCAGCACCGACGUUCAGGCACGAAAGCGUGGGGAG
rnacentral:rRNA from 1 species